ACAUGCUGUGAGAGACUGGAAUGUUAAUGAUUAAUGAUUCAAACAAUUUCUACUUGCAGUAACUGCCCAGGUGGUAGGUGGUGCAGAGGGGGUGCACACCACCACCGGUGGCUACAGGCUGGGUGCUGAGCCCGAUAACAGAAGAGGUGGGAUGGUGGUUUUUAUUGUGCCAAUGUCCUUACACAAGUGGCUCAGCUGUGAAUACACCCCUCCAGGGAAGUACUGGGACAUUCUUGUGAAAGCCUGAAGGUAUUUAUCCCUUCUAAUGGGCCAUAAUUAACUCAACUCCACUGAAGUGAUAGGCAACUGCCAGGUCUUAGACCAUGUGGAAGACUCUCAAGGUGUCUCAUGAUCCACAUUAUUGUAUCUCUCAGUGUAAAACUUCCCAUCCCAGGGAAGAUACCUGGGUGCUCCCACCUAUCCUGAAUGUCUAUUAAGCCACUGGAUUUUGUGUUUUGUGGGCUUCCCCCACACCUGAUGGAUGAAGACUGCAAUCAUCACUUUUACCAAUGGAAAUUCCAAUAAUCAAGUUUCAUCACUGGAUCCAAGGGUGGUAACUAUAUGCCUUUCUACUCUUAUUCCUGCUUCAUUUUCUUUCUUCCUUUCCUUUCUUUUCUACAUUUUCUUUGCUUUGUUAUUUUUGUGCUUUUAUAUUGUUACAGUCUAACCAAAAUUGCUACAUUUAAAAAUUUGCCAGGUACCUCAUUCUAGCUUUCUGUUAUAAAGUUUGCAAGUAAAACUUCCUUACUGAACUUCCUGAGAAUUCUGUUGUUUCUCCUGUGCACUGCCCAGAGUAAAUCAAACAACCUUCCCCUAAACCCACCAAGUGAACAGGGGCAUGACACUUGCAUGCUGGAAGAAGGCAAGAAGCUGUGUGGUGGUGCAACAUUACCAGGGGCUUUGUGCUCAUGCAGGAAACCACUCACUAUGCCUGAAUAGAGCUCAGUGAACGGGAUGUGGUGACUGCUGAUUCUCUCAGAGGUCUCCAAACCAAGCCACUAGCAUUGGUGCUCACACUCUACUUCUACAGGGCUUGGCAGAGAUAGCCAGAAGAAUUUCCUAGAAUAUGAAGGGCUCUUUAAAAAAAAAAAAAAAGAAAAAAAGAAAAAAGAAGAGAUUAAUGUCUGUCACAAAUAAAUGUCUUACUGUGGCCAAUUUCCAUUUUAGGAGGAUGGUGGAAAGUUGUUUCACGUGAUCAUUUCGAAUGGAAAAAUUCCAGGUGAAGUUUGAGAAUAUCAGUACUACCUGAGAACUUGGAAAUGUGAAAACUUUUAUUUCUACCACUUCUAACAGAGAUAAUGUGCCUAGAGAGGCAUACUUGCAUUUCCCAUUCCAUUUCAUGACUCUGCCAGUUCAUUUGCUAUCUGUUAGGCAGGAAUCAGUGUUCUGUCAGAACUAUGUUUCUGUUCAGUACUCAGAAAACAGCUGGGCCAUGCUUUUUCCAGCAAGAAAUCUAGUCCCAGAUAGCCAAACCUUUCUCAUUUAAAGUGCAGAUUAAUUCAUUACUUUUCCUGUGUUCCUGAAACUACUGAGAAACUUCUGGCUUGGAAUGAAACUCUGCGGAAAUCAAAAUAACAUUUUUCAUGAUCAGCAGAUUAUAUCAGUGUUCAGCAAACUCCACUGACCACUAAACGGAUUUUCAGUUGGAGUGUCAGGCAAGGGUUUGGACUUGCAAUGAUUUGCCUUAAUAUCCUGUAAUAUAUUCCAGCUUUGGGAGGAAGGGUUGUUGUAUGGUGGUUGGUAGGAUUGCAUAGAGCUUUAUGUGCAGCGUGUUAGAGUUCAUGCUUAUUUGAAAAACUGCUACAGAUCUGGUAUCAUAAAACGUCCCUAGAUAUCACAAGAAAAAAGUAGAUUCUAAAAUGAGUUAAGAUUAUAGCUUAUGGUAUGGUACUGCAGAUCCUUGGUAGAGUCAGCUUUUCCUUAAAUCAAAGAGUGCCUCAGCAUUGGCCCAUGUGCUGAGGGCAUUAUUCUUGAAUCAGUACAUCAGUAGUUUAACAUACCAUAACACUAAGAAAUGUAACGAUGAUGAUAAUUUUCUACUAUAUUAGUUAGCAGAACCCUGUGCAUUUUACAAGAAAACUGCCAGAUAUAAAGAUUGUUACAGUGAGAUCUUCUGAGGAUUUAUAGGCUGGUGGUAAAGAGUGCUCUUAGUGAGAAGAGAACUAGUACAAGUGGGAGUGAUAUUUGCCCUGGAGUAAAACUUGUUUUCCCCUUAAAAAAAAAACAAGAACAGAACAGUAGAAAAAUAACAGAGAUAUAUGCUCACAGGUAUACUGGAGGGAAAGGCUGAAUCAAAGGAGCCAGGUUCCUCCAUUUAGUUCAACUUCUGGUUUGAUUUUUUGCCAAGACUCUGAUACCUCCAGAUAUUGUCCACCAGAAUUUUUUUCAAGCAGCUGCUAAAAGACUAUGGAUGAUUUUGAUCCCACUUUUGAUCUGAGUAACUGAAAAGUUUGUCUACAUAGCCCAGAAGGAACCUGGGCUCAGGAAGAAGCACCAUUAUCUGUUGAUAAUCCCAAUACAAAAGUGUCCUCCAGAGAUCUGCUGCAGCCACCCUCCUGGUCUUCUCUCUGUUUUCACUGUGGCUUCUGUCACUGUCUGUUUCCGGCUGGCUGCUCUCAAUGUGAGCUCCUCUGUAAUUCUUACUACCUCAUAGAAGGUUCUGUCUUGCUUCACAUACCUGUCUCUUCACCAUGUUUUGCAUCUCUGCUAGGAAUGUGUCUCAUCAUGCUUGUUUCUUCUUUUUCAUUUCUCAAGUCUCUUGUGAGACUCAUUAAGUGAAAACUGUGUUAAUCUUUCACUUUACAGCCUGGUUUAAAGUAACCUAUAUGUUACAUUCACUGCUGUCUCUCAAUCUUUAAUUCCAAAUAUUUUUAUAAAAGUCAUUUUGAAAGGUGUUACACAGGAUGAGUUUUGCUGUGUAGUCUUACUGCACACAGCAAGAGCGACUUCUUCCCCUUUGCUUUUUGAGUUUAAUACUUUUAUUAUUUUUUUUCCACAUCUCAAACAACAUGACACCACCUUUGAAGUGGAUAACAAUAAAGGAACUGGAUUGAGAGUGAUUUUUGUGGUGACAGAGAGAGCGCUUCACCCCAGAUUAUUUUGAAGUGAUUCAGAUAAUGUCUUCUUACCAUUUCCCUAGGGAGAUAUCCUAACACAAACUGACUAAAUCUGUACUGGACAGUUGUCAUGGCCCAGAGUUUAUCUGUGUACCUCAGCAUCACUUCCAGCCUUUUGAAUGGGGACUGGUGGUAGUGCAUCUUUCCUGUGGUGCUCAGCAGUCUCCUUCCUUAGAGAAAAGAGGUGUUGGUUGCUCACCCUGGUGUCUUGCCAGAGCAGAUGUACCAACCUAUAAACCUUGUGCACAGGUACAAACAACCCACAACUAAUCUGCAGUUCCCAUGUGAUUUUGACACACCAUUUUCAGUUAAAACCUUCUGGGUUUGGUCAUGUGUUUAUUUUUAAUGAGUUCUGAAGCAAAAGCAAAACCAUUCUGGAAGAUUUUCUGUAUUGAGUCCUACAAAAACUAACAGAGAACAAUUCUGAAAAUCCUUUCUAUCUAUUUUGCAUUCAGACCCAAGGUAAACUACUAGCCAUUGUCCAUCUGGCUGCAAUAUUGAAGGGGAAAGAAGUGAGAGCACUGCCCAGGGAAGCAGCUUUGAGCCUGCUUGGCAUCCAUGAGGGUUUCAGGCUCCAGACCUUCUGCUGUUUUCUACCAGGAACAUUACUCAUAUCCUGCAUGCUUCUUCUUCACCUUGGAUUUUACGUUCUUUAGAUGCCGGUACAUCUAUCCUAAACCCAGCCUUCCCAAUCAUUUAGACAUCCUUCCCCAGAACUGCAGCAAUUGCAUAGCACUUGGGUUUACUAGCUUCUGUGCAAACAUAUGCUAAUUAAUUAUAACUAAUUGCACAUACUCAGGGUUUUUAAUCCUUUUUUUCACACCUCAGAUUCUCCAGAUUCCUAAUGUCUUGUUUGUUUUUAAAACCUAUUUACUAAUUAGGGAGGGGAAGGACUGGGGAGAGGGGGUACUAUGGUACAAUACACCAUUUUUGUGUAACAGAAAGUUUAUUUCAGUUACAUUUAAAAAUUUUCAACAUUUAAAACAGGACUGGGCUGAAUAAAUUACUUGGCUUCUCCCUACUGUCAACAUCUUAUAUCAGCUAACAGGGUCAGCUCCAUGUCUGCAGAGGUCUGGUUAACACCUCCAUUCCCUGCAGGAUUGCAGGGUCCUUUUGACAAGCCAUAGGACCAGCUACUCUGUUGGACCCUGCUGCUUGCAGGUGUCCCAGGAAAAUCUCUCACAUGGCACUUUUAAAUCCAACAUCAGCAGAACCCUGAUCUGAACACCAGGAUUUUGCAGGUUCAGGCUUGAGAGACAAAAGCAAAGAGAUUGGCACUGACUCAUCCUGGCACGUUAAAAAAAAUUACUUUCUCCUUAAUCAAGUGUGAAAGCUAAUUCAGAUAAAGUGUGUGACAGUAAUGAAAUGGGAGAAAGAGUUUCUAAUUAGAAUGUCAGCAAGAUAACACAAACCAAAUCCUAAACUCCCCACCAUUAAAGUUUCCCCACGGAGCCCUCCUGCCAUUGUUCCUUUCUCUUUCUGACUGCUUUUUAAUAACAACUUCUGUGUGGCCUUUGUAAAUAAUCCUCUCAUUAGAGGUUUGCUUGAAAUAUGCAAUCAAUUUAUUAAGAUAUUUUCUAGGAGAAAUUAGCAGGUACAACAAAGCAUAAUUAUUCUGGCACUCAUUCAUUUUUAAAACCAUAGGCUGACCAGGUGCCACUGUUGCUUCUGCCAACCUCAACAAUCAAUUGGAUGGCACCAGAAUCACAGCCAUAUGCCAAUUAAUCCAGGCUAGGCAGGCAGCAGCAUUUUCAAGGAGACUGAAAAAUUAGAAAUUAUCUGCAUAUUUAUUCAUAAGUAGUAGUCUUUGAAAUAAGAGGAAUUGGAUCUUUGAUUUGGUAAUUUUUCUACUACUGUUUAUAUAUGUUUGAGUGUCUAUGUAUGUGUUUUUUGAUCCCUGAAGAGAAUACUGAUUCUUUAUUGAACUCAAAAAAGUAAAGAUUGAGAGGGAAGACAAAACAUAUCAUAAAUAUUUCUUUAGGUUUAAGAUCAACACAUAAUAAAUUAUGUAAUAAAUGGUGGAAAGCUUCCUCUACCGAAAAGGAAGACCAUAACAGCAGGGAAAAUGAGUUCAACUGUGUGGCAUGAGAGACUCAAGAUAAAAGAAGCAUUUUGAGCAUUUUCAUUAAUAUUUUAGUCACAUUGUUCAAGAUAAGCCAUGUAGGGGGACUUGCUAAUAUCCAGUAACUCUUCAUUGGUAACUGAGAAAUGAGCUUGGUAUAUGUGGGCUACGUUCUGGUUAACAGAUAUACUCAUAUGAAUUGCCAAGUAUGACUGGAAGUAAAUGGCUAUCUGAGAGAAAUAUAUGGAAAUAGGAGAACCCAGAUAUUCCUCCAGGAUGGAAAGUCCUUUCAUGGCAGGACAGAAGCAAGCAAGAGAAAUGGUGCUGGGGAUUUGUAAGAGGAAGGCUUCUUUUUGAGAAGAACAGGACAUUUUCAAUAAAGGAGUUGAUGCCAAGGCUGAGAGCUUUGUUGUAGCUGUUCAACAAAGAAGAAGAAGAAUAAAAUUAUAUCUGUUGUCAGAAAUAUCUCUGAAACAUCCCUUGUCAUCAGAAAAAUUACAUUUAAUAUAUAACUUUAGAAAAUUUAGAAAACAAUUAUCUUUCUUUUCUCUCUCUCUUCCCUGCCCCCCCCCCCCCCCCCCCCCCCCAAGUUCUAUGUGGAAAGCCAAAACCUGAGACUAUGGAAUGCAAAAAGAAAAAAGAAAAUUGGCCUUUUUUCUGGAUCCUUUCUCAGUGAACUCUAUAUUUUGGUUUACACCUCAAAAUUAAUUUCUUCAGCCUGGCAGAAAUGUAACCUUGCCACCUUGCCAAAUUUUUGGAAAGUGUACCACCUCACUAUUGCAGUAAAAAGUAGAGAAGAAUCUGAAAUCAGCUGGUCACUGCUGAUGUUGCAUUGCUCAGAAGACAAAAAGAUAAUGCAGCUGGCUUUCUCUGAACUGUUGACAAUGUAAUGUUUCCAGCAAGCUAAUCAGAAAUGACUCAGGAGACAUACUGAGAACACAUAAUGGAAAGUAUUCAUUUCUGCAGUGUUGCUUCUCACAACCAAUCAGAUUUUAAAAUGAUGCAGAAAUUAAUAGCCUCAGUAACAAUGUGACUGUGAGUAUAAACUCAGCAAAGUCAGCCGCAAAAUGCUAUUUCUACCAUCGCUUAUUUUUUCUCUCAAAGGUCUUCCUUAUAUAAGUAGAAAGAAUAUUAUACUCUAACUUUUGUUGUUGUGAAUUGCCUUGGCAACUCAAAACACAUACUUUUUCUGGUGAAUACUGGUCAGAAGACAUGCGCUUCAGUAGAAUAAUUUUUGAAUUAAAGUAUGUGAAAAUCUGUUGAGUGCUUUUAUCAGUUACUUUGAUCUUUUCUGAGAAGCUGUGCUCAUACUGAGUAGCUGCCUACUAAACACUGAGGCUGUGCCUUAUCUGUUGCAUAAAUGAGAUGGUGGAUUGCAUUACAGCUGCUAGCAGGGCCCUAUGUAGGGAAGGCUGCUAGUCCUGAGGAGUGGUUAUUUCACAUGGCUUACUCGAGUAUGACAUGCUUAGGAUGUGUUACCUAGGAGGCUAAAGUCCCACAAAUAUUUGUACAGUGUGCAUGCACAAUACAUUGUACAAAUGCCUAUUGAAAACCAAAAUGGGAUGAAUUAAUAAGUACUGUUACAAGUACUACCUCCCUGGGGAGAUUUAAAGCAGAAGCUUGAAGGAGAAGUUGUUUAAAUUUGAGCUUCCUGAGCUAUCUAGUACUGUAAAUGGAAAUUGUCAGCUGCAAAUGGUAAUGUCACGGGAAGUAACCACACACCAUCAUAUUGCCCCCUUGCUGUCAGUGUACUGCAGAUCACUGCAUCACUUUUGUACAUGGAAGGCCCAAUUCUUGCUAAGCUUCCAUGUCACUGAGGUCCAAAAUGUAAAAUUCAGACAUUUAAAAAGUGUGAGUGGGCUUAAGGAAAACACAGGCUAAAUGAAAGCUACAUCAAAAUCUUAGGUUUCAUUAGAAGAAAAAAAAAAACCAACUCAAAAAACCCAAAGGAUUCUAUUUUUACCUGCAAAUUUAUUCUAUAUUUUUCUUUGUUUAAAGCCAGACUACAUCUUCUGCUAAGAUUUAAUCUUGUCCUACUGUUCCUCUCAUUAAUACCUCUCUGUGCUUUCAGCUCUAAAUUAGGAUUCACUCUGUUCAAAGGUUAUUCUCAUCUUCCUUGCACCUCUGUGUAGUGAACACAAUUUCACUGCAAAGAAGGAGUUGCAUUUAACCAGCUGAUUCCCAAAGAGAUCCAUCAGGGUACAUUCUGAAAGAAGAAAUUCCACAAGUAUACUUGCACUCAUACUUUCUCUCUGAUAUUCCUUUAACCUGACUUUCCCCUCAAUACAGCUAUACUACAUUCAUCAAUCCAUCUGCCUGUUGAUUUAUCUCAUCCAUCUGUCCUUCCCUGGCAUCCAUGUAAUACAUUCAUGUAUUAGUCACACACAUAGGGUCAUCAGUCAAAUCCUCCCUAUCAGUGUUUCUAUCAGUCAGCUUUUUCUGUAUGUUUUAUCCAGUUAAUAUACUGGUGUUCAUGCAUAGUAAACUAUUUUAUCUUUACACAUUACACAUAACUGUACUUUUUUUCCAUGAUUAACAGCAGUAGAUAUUAAAAUAUUCACUGAGUUAAAGUCAGAAAAGAAGACAAAAGGAAGGAUUUUUUUUUUAAUGUCUGAAAAUAGAAAUGCUUAUGGCAAUGAGAACUAAACAAAAAUGCAUCUGCUCCCUCCUCAUGAUGCAAUGUGAGUCUUCUCUCCCCAUUUUCCUACCAUAAUUUUUAGGACUUUGACUAAACAUACUGAACAUACCAUUUUUCAGCAGAACAAAAUAAAAGCAGAAGUUACACAAAUAUAGAACUUAGCAUGUCCUUUUCUCCUAUCCUGCAAUGGACACCUGUGACUAUAACAAUGUAGGUCUACUACUGUAAAGUAUGUGAACCCUGACAGUGUGCCCCAGCCAAACCAUCUUUAGCUGUUCUUAAUCAGAGCCCUCAGGAAUUCAUCAAGGUUAUGGAAAUGUAAACUGCGCUAAAUUGGGGAAAAAAAAGCUGAGAAGCAGAAUACCAAACAGCGAGAAAUAGAUAAAGAAGAACUGUGCCGCCCUGGAUUAGAACCAAUCAUGUUUUUUGAACAGUGCAUGCAGAACGCAUGGACAAAAUAGAGGGACCAAUCAAGUAAUGCGUGAUCAUGUGUUCAGUAGUUGCAAAAUGCGUAAGUAGAGUGUAGUGUAAACAAUAAAUGUCAUCUGCAAAAUCAUAUUGAUUCAUUGUUCAGAAGUCCUGAGCUCCCACAGUCUACAAUAAAUGAAAUUUUUGUUGAUUUGAGAAGAUAAAAAAAGAGAACUGGUUGCUGUGUGCCUGAGAAUAGGGGAGGACACAAGCAAACACAGGAGUGUCAAGCUGGGCUAUGUAGUUUGUAUUAUAGAUUUUACAGGAUCUCACACAAAGCUGUGGAGAUACCAGUGACCUUCUGUGUAGCCUUGCAAAACUGUCCAUUUUUUUCCAUGCUGAGCUUGAGACAAAAGAAAUAGUUUGUAAAAAACUGAAGAAAAUACCAAUUUAGAGAAAAGAAAUUAUGACAAGAUUGGAAGGUGAAAAGCAUUUGAUCAUAGCCUGAUCCAUUCAGAGUAGCAAUGGAGAUGGAAAUAAAGCAACAAAAGAUGGAAAGGAAGAACUAAUUCACUGUAACACAAGAUGAAGGGAUAAGAAGAAAUAGUUGAAAACUGUGGGAGGGAAAAAUUAAGUUUGACACCAGCAAAAGAUUCUCAAAUUAAAUUCUUAUGGUAGAGUCACUAGAAUUAGAUGGAGUGUUAAGGGAGAGGAAGAACUGACCUACUUAGUGAAAGAAAUUGGACAAUAAUGAGAAACACGUGUAGGAAUAGGACUCUGAGUAUUCUAGGCACAUUGAAUGAAGUUAUUUGUAGCUCUUAGUGCUCCAGGUUUUCAUGCAUUGGGACAUGGAAGUCUGUUGGGACCUAAAAGGACAGUUACACUGUACCACCAACUUCCUGAUUGCAUGUCUGGCUUUAGUCCAGUGGGCAGAAACUGUUUUACGUGCACAUCUCUUACCCUGGUUUCAAAGGACACCUCAGGCAUAGGGAUACAGAGCACCCUGGCAGACUCAGGCCUGGUCCCACUGUGGGUGCAGUUGUUAUCCUAUGACACAGCAAGGACCAGCCAGUAAACCUGGUAAGGAAAUCAUCUCACUUGAUUUCACGCAUUAACACCACGAAUGUCUAUUGAUUGCACUGAGCUCCUGUGCAAUCACUGGAGAGAAAAAGGCUCAGGUCAUCUCCCCCAAAUGCAGAUGCCAGAAACAGGCUGGAUGGAUUCCUACCCUUUCUGGUUUUUUGACUGAGGGCAGGACCUAGGCAAGGGGCUCAGAUUUGACAUGUGCGUCAUAUAUAUUUAGGUUCAGCAAGAUCAAUCACACUGCUAGCAUAAGAGAGCCCCUGCAGGCCAUCCAGGUGGACAAAUCCAGCAGAUCUUCUUUGUGAUCUUCAGGUUCAUAAUAGCCACCUUCUUGGGUCUGUGUCAGGUUGCUUGGACUACUCUCUGAUCAUCAGGAGAACUAGUCUGCACAAAGGCAGAGCUGUGGCCUGAGACAUUUGCAAUCUAAGAUGAGCACCUACAGAAUCAGCUGGGGCUGGGAACAACACACAUUGCAAUGAAUCUGGGUGGCAUUUGUAAUUAAUGGAAAGCAGCAACAUGUGAAAGAAGAUAAAAAACUAAUGAAAAUGUCAAUAAAAUAUUUCAACUGUAGCAAAGCCAGCAUAAGAUGCAUGCUGAUUCAUACAACAUUCAUGGACUUGCUUAUGGUGGCAGCAUGCAAGAGGACCCAGGCCAUUAACAGAAGUACCAGGAUGUCUGGAUGGGUCAAAGAAAAGGGUGGAGGAUGCGACAGUAGCUGGGACUAAGCUGUUCAUUGCUGGAAAUCCUGAAUGCUCACAAGAUAGAACAUUCAUCUUCUGUGCCACACAAGACAAAUAUAUGUGGAAGCGAACCUUACCAGUUCUGGACAACUUUGUGGAUCUCAGACAGGAAUGAAAUGGAAAUUUGCAAAUAGUUCCAAAAUAAAACAAUGGAAUCACAAUGUAACUGUGUCCAUAGGAAAGCUACUGAUUGUUUUUUAUGAGCAGAAAGUCCUCACAGAAACUAAGCAGACAACAGUCUGUGGAAAAUCUUCCCUUCUAAGCCACGUGGUGCUGGCCUCCUCUGAUAAGAAGUGAGAUUCCUGGCAAUGUACAGUAUGGGGAAGUCUUCCAAUGUGAUUAUAUGCAACAAGUGGAAAAAAGAAAAGAUUUGUUGAGACUGUAAUCAUCCAGUCAGCAACUGCAAACAGGGGUGCCCUUGCUGCAUCAUGCCUGGGAUUCCUCUCCCAGAAAGGAUGGUGAAAUGCUGGACAUGUGCUCCAACUCCUGAGAUACAUGGAGUUGCAGGCCACCCAGGCAGUUCUUCAAAGGACAGCCUUUAUGGUCUUAGAGUAUUCAACACUUCACACACAUUUAGUCUUGAAUAAGGCCUGGUAAGGAUUUUCAGAGAUUAGUGGUAUUUUCUAUAGCAGGCAUUUGAAAUUUUCCCUUUCCUCUACUCUUCCUCACAUUGCUUAUACCAGCUCAAAGGGUAGGAAAAAAAGUUGCAGAAGAGAAAAUCUUGUCUUUUUAAUCAAGGAUGAGAACAGCAGGAUCUAAUGCUGAUGUCUAGGAGAAAGAAAGGGACAAAUCUGAGAAGAAGUUAUUAGAUCAAGUUCUCACAAUGCAUAACCCAAGAAUAUUAGAAAAGGGAAAGGCAGAAAUCCCGUGGACUGACUGAAACCCCUGACUGUCAUUUUGCAAGCAUUAACAGUCCGGCAAGAGGACUGUAUUUUGGCAGUAUUUGGCUCAAAAGGUAAGAUAAAAACUGCUUCCAGAUGCUUCUGUUCUUCUACCCACUAAUGAUUUCUCACUGUCAGCUGUGAAUAGAUCUAUUAAUAAGUAGUGUUUUGAAUUUAUAAAUCAGUUUUUGCCUAAUCUUUUCUUCCAGGAAAGCUUGCAUUGGUUCCAGUUGCCUUCACAAUUUGGCAUUUGCCCAUGAGAAGCCUGUGGAGUUUUCCUCUCCCUUGUACAAGAGACUGUGGUGGGAAGCAGGGAUACUUAGUACCUUAAAGGGGGAAUUCCUUCAGCAUCUGGGAAAAGUAUUCCUGUGUUAUAGGGAAGAUUAGAUUAGGAUGUUACCAUGGUAAAAAAGAGAUUUUUAACUUUAGUCUUUAACUUACAUACAGGCACACUGUGAGGAGUUUCUUGUACAUCCUGAUUUGUUGAGUGGCUACUUGCUUCUGGCCAGACACCUACCAGCAUUUCAAGUUUGACAGCAACAGAAGCGGCUCAAAACAGAAGAGUGCGUAAUUGUUUUAUGCCUUCACUUCCCUGGCCCCUGUGUAUGAAGUUUGCACGGAGGAGCUGUGUCAGCACUGGGAGAAACUGAUGUGACUGCAGUUCAUCUUUACCAAGCUUAUUGUAAAUUCUGUUAAUAGCAAUGUUAGUGUUUCAGAAAUUCAUCGAAAAAACAUAAGGGACAACUGCUCUCUACACUUUCUCCCAUCCUACCUGGAAGGAUCAGAUUCUCAGCUGGUGUAAAGUGUUGUAGCAUCCCUGAUACCAAUGAAGUAUUGUUUGCUCCAUCCAAAGAGCUGAUUCACAGGCACUGAGUGAAGAAAGAUAGACAAAGCACAUCUCAUAAAACACUAGAGUAUGCAGAAGUUACUGGUUUCAGCAAUCUGCCUUAUAAAAAAUACUAACAGAAAGCAAAUAUCACAAGCCAUUGCUUAAAUUUACACUCACACAAACUAGGGAAAUCUACCCAUUUUCAGAGCCCAAACACUUAAAAAAAUACAAACUCACUCUGAAGAGACAGUUGAAGUUAUUAAAAAUGUUCUGUGUAAUGAUCUAUGCUGAUGGCUCCCAGACCUAGCUCUUGAAAAACAUAUGUAGCAAUUAUUAAGUCUUUUGUAUCAGCAGCUUUAAACACAAUGUUGAUUAGGGUUGUUCCUGAAAUUUAGACUAUUUUUUUUACAAGUGCAGUAUUUGGAAAGCUUGCCAAUAGGAAGUACUUUGAUCAGUUGUUAUUUUGCUGUCAUCAUAAUAGAGAUGACAAAAUUGAAUAAGAAUAAAUUAGAAUAACGAGUAUAUUAAUAGUGAUGAAAUUCAUUAAGUUUGGCUCUCAAAAAAAGUUCAAGAAAUUUACUUGCAUUUCUUAAGGAUCUAUGAAGUGGUAUUCUUUGUCACAUCAAAAGUCUAUGUAGCCCCAAAUGUUCCUUCCUACAGGGAUCAGCUGCAAAUAUAUAGGAUGAAUGUAAGAAAUGGAAGGAAAUAAAGAGGGUGAUUCUUCGUUGGUGCCCUCAGCCACCUUCUUUAGAAUUGAUAAGUGCUAGAUGUUAUAUCACUUCCAUCACAUUUACCGCCACACCAGCAGAUCUUUUCCCAGGAGCCUUCUGAAACAGCCUUGAAUAUGUUUAAACUCUCGCUCACCUCUAUAUCGUGCAAUAAUGAGUUCUGCAAUUUAUUUGUAAGUUGUGUAAAAGCAGUUUUAUUUGUUGCUCUUCCUAAUAAAAACAUUGGGGCACCUCUAGUUUUAACACUAAAAAUAGCUUGUAAUUACUUCUUGUCUGCUAGUUGAGACUGUGUAGACCUAUUUGGUGACUUUCUUCAGUCUUGCCUUUUCCAAGAUGAGGAGCUGCAGGCUAUAGGCACAUGAAAUCUGUUCUGAUUUCUAAUCACCCUUACCAUGGCUUCAAAGCUAAACCAAACUGUUUUCCAAAUUGAUUGAAUUGGAUUGUGUUCAAGAUGUGAGCAUACCAUGGAUUUAAAAAGCAGUGCAAAAAUACUUUUUGUUUUGUUCCCCAUUUAAUUCCUUACAACUUCAAACAUUAGAUUUGCCUUUAUGAAAAUGGCAGAGCAUUGUGCGAAUGUUUUCAGAGAAGCAGUCAAAUAUUUUCUGAAUGAUGAUAGAUAAUUUAGAAACCAUCAUAAUUUAUGCCUGCUUACAUGGAAAUUUUCCUUUGUGUAUUACUCUGCAUUUCUUCAAAAUCUCAAUAUUUUCUGCCACUCUGUUGGCUAGGCAAAUAAUUUAAUGAAAAAUCAUACUUAGAAAAACCAUAGUCUUUAAAAGUAAAAAAUAAAGAGUGAGACUUCUCUGAUGCAAAAUAUUUCAGUCCAAAAUUAGGUAUUAACUUUUGGAUGAGAUGAUGUUUACCUGUCUCUUCUUUGAAUCACCGAAAUGUUUCUUUGCAGUUUGAGCAUAAGGUCAUUCAUUGCUCUUUUCUUCCUCUCUAACAACAUUCUCCUGGACAAGAACUACAAUAUCUAGAAAGUUGUAUCUGGGGGAAAUUUACAGAGGAAGGUCUACAGGUGAACAGUGUUGGGUUUGCUCAAGAUAAAAUGUAUUCAGAUAGUAAUUUUGUAUUUGCUAUUAUGAGUUGUAGACUUUGGAAUACACUUGUGUUUGCUGAAACAAACAAAAAAAAAUCAUGCUUUAUAACAAUCAAUGUUAAAGAACAGUCUAAAUUCUGACUGUUAAAUGUUCUUAAUGAGUCACUUAACAGCAGCUCCAGACUAGGACUCUAAAGUUUUAUUCUGAUGCUGAACUUAACAGGUUGUCAGCAACCCACUCAAAAAGUGUAAAGUUAAACAGCUGCAGAAUUGGCUUUCAAGAGUUUUUCACCAGUCGUAUUCUGCAUCAAGAAACAAUAAAAUUGAGGAAUGGGCUGCCCAGUGCUCAGGCAGGAAAAAAUAGCAAAAUAAAUCAGAAACAUUUUUUCCUACUACUGACUUACUCAACUGUAAUAACAUUAUUCACUUAAUAUUCCAUUCUGAAUAGAGAUAGAUAGUAGAUUAAUUUUAUACAAUUCUAUUAUUCCACAUAUUUCAGGAGGUUUACUUACAUGAGCAAAUAUAGGAUUAAGGAGUAUUUUCAUAAUUUCAUCCUUAAAUAAGUCUUUGAGUAAGGCUGAAGAAUGAAUGUUGUGAAACGUUUUCAAGACAGAAGAGAACGGGUUUUUCCUCAUUUCAAGGCACACAGAAAAUUUAAAUGAAAAGAAACAGAUAAUGGAAACAUACUACUUCCCUCCUGCUUUGGUUAGUUGUUGCCAUUGUCACUAAUGACGUCUUAAUGUUCCUGACAAUUUAAAUGAUAAUAAAAGCUACAGCCUUGCAAAUUC